rnacentral:rRNA from 1 species
GGACAGCCCUCGUGAAGGUGAGCAAAUCCCAAAAAUAAACGUCCCAGUUCGGAUUGUAGUCUGCAACCCGACUACAUGAAGCUGGAAUCGCUAGUAAUCGCGGAUCAGAAUGCCGCGGUGAAUACGUUCCCGGGUCUUGUACACACCGCCCGUCACACCAUGGGAGUCGGAAAUGCCCGAAGCCGGUGACUCAACCUUUAAGGAGAGAGCCGUCGAAGGCAGGUCUGAUAACUGGGGUGAAGUCGUAACAAGGUACC